GGGGGCAUAGCUCAGUUGGGAGAGCAACGGGCUGAAGUUCGGUUAUCAAUAGAAAUGCAUCUUCUGGAGGUCCCAGUUCAAUCCUGGGUGCCCCCA